CCUACGGGUGGCAGCAGUGAGGAAUAUUGGUCAAUGGGCGAGAGCCUGAACCAGCCAAGUCGCGUGAAGGAUGACGGCCCUACGGGUUGUAAACUUCUUUUGUCAGGGAGCAAUUGGGUCCACGCGUGGGCUUAGCGAGAGUACCUGAAGAAAAAGCAUCGGCUAACUCCGUGCCAGCAGCCGCGGUAAUACGGAGGAUGCGAGCGUUAUCCGGAUUUAUUUGGUUUAAAGGGUGCGUAGGCGGAAUAUCAAGUCAGCGGGAAAAAUUCGGGGCGCAAACCCGUCGUGUCGUUGAAACUGAUGUUCUUGAGUGGGCGAGAAGUAUGCGGAAUGCGUGGUGUAGCGGUGAAAUGCAUAGAUAUCACGCAGAACUCCGAUUGCGAAGGCAGCAUACCGGCGCCCAACUGACGCUGAAGCACGAAAGCGUGGGUAUCGAACAGGAUUAGAUACCCCAGUAGUC
rnacentral:rRNA from 1 species